rnacentral:rRNA from 1 species
UACGAAGGGGGCUAGCGUUGCUCGGAAUCACUGGGCGUAAAGGGUGCGUAGGCGGGUCUUUAAGUCAGGGGUGAAAUCCUGGAGCUCAACUCCAGAACUGCCUUUGAUACUGAAGGUCUUGAGUAUGGGAGAGGUGAGUGGAACUGCGAGUGUAGAGGUGAAAUUCGUAGAUAUUCGCAAGAACACCAGUGGCGAAGGCGGCUCACUGGCCCGAUACUGACGCUGAGGCACGAAAGCGUGGGGAGCAAACAGG